UACGUAGGGGGCAAGCGUUGUCCGGAAUCAUUGGGCGUAAAGCGCGUGUAGGCGGCCAGGUAGGUCCGUUGUGAAAACUCGAGGCUCAACCUCGGGACGUCGGCGGAAACCCUCUGGCUAGAGUCCGGAAGAGGAGAGUGGAAUUCCUGGUGUAGCGGUGAAAUGCGCAGAUAUCAGGAAGAACACCCGUGGCGAAGGCGGCUCUCUGGGACGGUACUGACGCUGAGACGCGAAAGCGUGGGGAGCAAACAGG
rnacentral:rRNA from 1 species